AAAUGCAAAUGUAAAAAAUUGUAGUUGUUGCUAUUAAGCAAAUAAGAGAGGGAGAAGAGAGAGGGUUAGAAAGGGAGACUAGGCAGCUUCUCUUCUAUCUUGAACGAUGCUUUCUCUUCGGUGGCAAGACUCUUUUGGCGGCGGUGGCGACGAUCGACUGUUCAAAGGGGAAGGGUUUCGUUCUUCUCUUUGCUUCGACCUGGAAAAAAUCUCAGUUCGAUUUUUGAGACUUGAUGAUGACAAAAUAAAGGAGGAGAUCUAUGUGCAGUUCACUGGUGAAACUGUAGGGGAAGUGAAAGCUGUAGUAGAUAUGCAUCAAAGGAAAGCAGAUAUGGCUAAGCAUUCUGAUGUUUUUAUUGCCUUACCUGAUAAAAAUAAGUAAACUGGAAUUUGUGCACCGACUGCUAACGGGGUGGUGCAUUUCUGCUUCUUGGUUGUUUUGAUCCAUUCAAUAAGAAAGCAGUUUGAGCUAGCCGAGGAGCCUCCUUUCAGCUUCCUAUAGUUUCUGGAACUUGGACUCAUCUAGAAGCUCUCAGAAAUAAAUUCCAUUUGAAGAUUUUGGCUGGUCAUCCUGAGAGUAAUGAACAAUCGAAGCCAGUGUCUAGGCUUUCUCAAGGGCUUGCAGAUUCUUUAGCAAAUUUGCCACUGUGCUUGGUCCUGGGUGGCGAAGGGAAUGGCCUUUCAGCAAAAACUAGGCAGGUUCUUAUGGUGCCACAAUGCCACUUCUGCUAUUUCAAGUCACUGCAGACGCUUUGAUGUAGUUGAAGAAGUUGAAGUAAUAAAGCUGCAGGGAAAUAAGGCCAUGCCUCUAUUAAUUACCAGAUUGAGUUCUAUAAAAAGGAGGGUUUAACACCAUACUUCCUAUAACUAGUGAUGUUCUUGAAGGCUGUGUGAUUAUAAAGAAACACAUUCCCAUCACAAAUUUGUUCACCUGUCUGUGGUUUAAUGAAGUCGAUCGUUUUACUUCUGAGGAUCAGUUGAGCUUCUCCACUGUACAGGACAGAAUAAUGGCCGAAGUUAACUGGAGUGUCGAUAUGUUUAUGGAUUGUGAAAGGCGAAAUUUCGUGAUUCAGGUAGUAAUUUAUUUAUUACUAUAUAUGUGUGUUUGUCUGUGUUCUCUUCAAUAUAAUAGAUUCAUACAUAUAAUAUGUUGAAAGUGUAAUUUCACUGCUUUUGUCAACUUAUAUGGCUUUCCAUAGUAAAGGCCAUCAUAUGUUCAUAACAAACUUGAUAGGCUGAUAAAACAAUCAUUUCAAUUGAUGAUAGACUAACAGCUUGAAUAUACUAACAGCUUCACAGCAUGUUGAUUGGUUUGGAACCUUUGAAUCCUAACUGCUCAUUUUCUUAUCUUCUCUUUGAUUUCUAUGUUCCUUUCAUGCGGCGUCAACAAGUUGGUUUUCUCUUCCUCUCUCAUUCUCUUCUUAUCUUCUCUCCUUCUCUAAGGUAUGAUUUUUCUUCACUGUUUUAAAGUUCUUAUUUGUCAUUAAAUUUCUUUCUUCGUAUAAAAACUGAUUUGGAAUUUGUGAUGAAAAAAUAUGUUGGCUAAUGUUUGUAAAAAAUCAUGUGCUUUUAGAUUGAAUAUCAUAAACCCCAAAAAAUAUGUUGGCUAUUGUUUGUAAAAAAAUAUGAAUUUUUCUAAUUUUUCAUUAUGAUAUUGCUUUUAUGGGGCCAUUGAAUCAUCUUAUUAAUUUUGGAAAUAUUUUGUUGAUGUUUUAAAAUUUCUUGAUCAUUUCUUAAUACCUCAAGAAAUAAUUGUCACUGAGUCGUCGGUUUUUGUAUUUCUGUGAAGUUUCCUUUGUCAUGCAGACAAGAAAUGCAACAGGGUUAGUUGCUCUAGCUAUUGUCGCGGGUUUAUGUGCCUUAACACAUACAUUGGGUAUCCUCGUCGUUGUGAUAGGAGCAAGUGGAUUUCCUACAGCUACAACUGCUAUAGAAAUUAUUGUCGGUAGUUUUAGAUAAUCUCUUAAUAGUUGUCGAUAUAUUUAGAAAGUUAGAUAUGCAUAGUUUUGGAUGGUUUAAACUUUUUGUACAGUUUAGAACUUAAGGAUAUAGUUUUCGAA